rnacentral:lncRNA from 10 species
GCGCUCCCCCUGGAGGUUCUAGGAGAGGAUCCUUCCUGCCUCUUCCAGCUCCUGGUGGCUCCAGGUGUCCCUGGGCUUGUGGCCACAUCACUACAUUCUCUGCCUCCAUCUCCACGUGACCUUUUCCUCUGUGUCUGUGUCUCCUCUUCUGUCUCUUAGAAGGACACUGGUCAUUGGAUUUAAAGGCCACCUGGGUAAUUUAUAGUGAUCUAAUCUCAAGAAUCUUUCCUUAAUUACAUGCAAAUACUCUUUAUCCAAAUUAGUUUGCAUUCACAAAUUCUGGAGCUUAGUACUUGGACAUAUAUUUUGGGGGGUUGAUGGUUGGAGGGGCUUUUAUUCAACUCAGUACAUCUUAAUAAGGAAUUAAUGCCCCCCAACUUGCCUUACAAGUCAUAUAUUAAAAACAAUGUUGGCCUGGCACAGUGGCUCAUGCCUGUAAUCUCAACACUUUGGGAAGCCAAGGGAGGAGGAUCACUUGAGCCCAGGAGUUGGAGACCAGCCUGGAUAACAAAGGGAGACCCAGUUUCUACAAAAUAUUUAAAAAUUAGCCAGGCAUGAUGGUGCAUGCCUGUGGUCCUAGCUAUUCAGGAAACUGAGGUGGGAGGAUCACUUGAGCCUGGAAGUUCAAGACAGCAGUGAGCUAUGCUCACACCACUGCACUCCAUCCUGGGCAACAGAGCUGGACUCUGUCUCAAAAAACAUAACACUAAAACAUCAAAAUUAAAAAAAAAAAACACUGAAAGUAGCCUCCACUUACAAACUAAUUACUCUUUCUUGAAAAUAUUACACUUUUUUUCUUCUAUAUCUCUACUCCUAGCUCUCAACACCUUUCUUAAGCCCACAUCAUAACCUGUCUUGCAUAACUUUGUGAGUGCCCAACGUUUCACUGUACAAGAUUGUAGAGCUGCAUGCUUCUUAAGAAUAAAUCCACACUUUAGGUACCAGUAAAUCCAUGCAAUGCCUCAGACGUUAUAACCAAAUAAUGCCUGGAAAAUCGACAUGAAUUUAUGUGAAGCAUAAGCCUUUAAUUUUUUUAAAGAAAAGUAGAUUGCUGUUUUUCCACAUCAUUUCAGAGCCGUUCUCUAGUUUUGCAUGCCCUUUACUGCAGAACCAUACAGAUUUUGUUCUCCAUUUCAUACAUCAUUUGUUGAAAUGCCCUUUAAAAUGUAACGGAAUAUAGAGCUUUAUGGGAAAAAAUGCUGUAGAAAAUAAAUUAUCU